CAGUGCUGCAUGCUGUCGUCGACUCGUGUGUGAAUGUUGGGUUAGUCCCGCAACGAGCGCACCCUUAUCCUUGUUUGCCAGCGAGUAAUGUCGGGAAUCCCCAGGGGAGACUGCCGGUGAUAAACCGGAGGAAGGUGGGGACGACGUCAAGUCAUCAUGGCCCUUACGAGUAGGGCUACACACGUGCUACAAUGGCGCAUACAGAGGGCAGCAAGCUAGCGAUAGUGAGCGAAUCCCAAAAAGUGCGUCGUAGUCCGGAUUGGAGUCUGCAACUCGACUCCAUGAAGUCGGAAUCGCUAGUAAUCGUGAAUCAGAAUGUCACGGUGAAUACGUUCCCGGGCCUU
rnacentral:rRNA from 1 species